CCUACGGGAGGCUGCAGUGGGAAUAUUGCACAAUGGGGGAAACCCUGAUGCAGCGACGCCGCGUGAGUGAAGAAGUAUUUCGGUACGUAAAGCUCUAUCAGCAGGGAAGAAAAAAAGUCCUUUGGACUUUGGACGGUACCUGACCAAGAAGCCCCGGCUAACUACGUGCCAGCAGCCGCGGUAAUACGGAGGGGGCAAGCGUUAUCCGGAUUUACUGGGUGUAAAGGGAGCGUAGACGGCAGCGCAAGUCUGGAGUGAAAUGCCGGGGCCCAACCCCGGAACUGCCUUGGAAACUGUGCAGCUGGAGUGCAGGAGAGGUAAGCGGAAUUCCUAGUGUAGCGGUGAAAUGCGUAGAUAUUAGGAGGAACACCAGUGGCGAAGGCGGCUUACUGGACUGUAACUGACGUUGAGGCUCGAAAGCGUGGGGAGCAAACAGGAUUAGAUACCCGGGUAGUC
rnacentral:rRNA from 1 species